GGGGAGGUUCCCGAGCGGUCAAAGGGGGCAGACUGUAAAUCUGUUGGCUCAGCCUUCGAAGGUUCGAAUCCUUCUCUCCCCA
rnacentral:tRNA from 2 species